rnacentral:rRNA from 1 species
AUUGAACGCUGGCGGCAGGCCUAACACAUGCAAGUCGAGCGGAUGAAGGGAGCUUGCUCCUGGAUUCAGCGGCGGACGGGUGAGUAAUGCCUAGGAAUCUGCCUGGUAGUGGGGGAUAACGUCCGGAAACGGGCGCUAAUACCGCAUACGUCCUGAGGGAGAAAGUGGGGGAUCUUCGGACCUCACGCUCUCAGAUGAGCCUAGGUCGGAUUAGCUAGUUGGUGGGGUAAAGGCCUACCAAGGCGACGAUCCGUAACUGGUCUGAGAGGAUGAUCAGUCACACUGGAACUGAGACACGGUCAAGACUCCUAAGGGAGGCAGCAGUGGGGAAUAUUGGACAAUGGGCGAAAGCCUGAUCCAGCCAGGCCGCGUGUGUGAAGAAGGUCUUCGGAUUGUAAAGCACGUUAAGUUGGGAGGAAGGGCAGUAAGUUAAGACCUUGCUGUUUUGACGUUACCAACAGAAUAAGCACCGGCUAACUUCGUG